CGGGAUCACUCCCUGAGCCGAAGGCAGACGCUUAACCGCUGUGCCACCCAGGCGCCCCAUGCUAAGACUCUUGGCUGCAAGCUAGAAACUCAGUCUGAACUACUUAAGAAAGGAUUUCAUUGGAGCCAUCCUGGGGUAUCACAGUACCUUGAAACUUGGCAAAUUUAGGAUUCAGCUCCACCUUAGGAAUAACUAGAGCCAAGUGUUCAAAACCUCUCAGGUAUUGUCCUCUAUGUCAUCCUCUUUCAGUUUGCUUCUGUUCCUAUGUUUGGUGUCAUUCUUGACUGUCACUGAAAAUUGGCUUUACCUCUGUGACUCAAACCCAACUAUCAUCAGUCUUUGCAUUUCUAAUGCUUAGAACCUGAAAUAAAAGAGUGACUUAAAGCUUUGGUCCUGAGUCCAAAAUCUGUGAAAUGGUCAGAUUGGUAUUUUAAAGGCAUAAUCUCAACAAGGGGAGAAAGCAUUUUGGUUGCAAAACUGAGAGUAGAUUGGGAAAAAACCAGAAUGAAUGACUCUAGAUAGGUUAGGCUGUAUUCAGCAGUUGUGGUGAGAGAAGGUGGUAGCUUGGACUGGGCUAGGUUGAUAGUGUUGGAGAUGGGCAGAGGUAGAUGUUGUAGAGACAGGUUUAGGACACACACACAAAAAUUGGAUUUGUUAAGGUAGUAGCUUGGAUAUGGGUGGUGGAUGAGAAUAUAUCAUGGGUGAUAUUCAGGUUUCUGGCUUGCGUGACUAGUUGGUUAGUGCAGUCAUUUGCUGAGGUUGGACCACUUCAGUUUGGGAACUAUGGUCAUAAUUGUGGUUUUUGAUAUGUUAAUGCAAGGUAUUUUUGGGGCAUCCGAGGAGCUGUUAAGAAAGUAUUAGAUGUGGCUUUUUCAGUCAAAUGUGAGGUCUGGGCUUUUGCUGUAAAUAUUUGUGGAGAAGGUAUAGCCUAUUGCUUCAGAGGAUGGGAUUGGCAUAAAAAAGACUGUCACUUACUAGCUGUGCUUCCUAAGGUUGGCUACUUAGUCAUCUUUUAGCAUUAUUUCUCAUCCCUGAAGUAGGUGUAGUAAUUGCACCUACUUCAUAGAGCUGCUCUGAGGAUCGGUUGGUAUGGUUGCGGGUAAGGUGUUUAGCACCUUAGCAAGUACAUAGCAUGCAUCCUGUCAGUGUUAAGUGGUGGUCUUAUUCUUUACGCUCUUGUGGACAGGAAUUGUGCCUCAUUCACCUGUUCUUUUCCCAUAGGACUAGAUAUUAAUGAGCCACUGUGGGGCAGAGUGGAGAGUGUGAACAGUUGCAUGACUGGAGCAUAGUGAUGUUAAUCUGGCUAUGAAUUGAUAAACUGAAGGAGGAAGAGAUUGGAGUGAUGGGAGUGAGAGAAUGAUGGUGGUAAUAUUGGAAUAAGUACUUGAACUGGGGUGGCACAAUUGGAAUAGCAGUAUUGCUGUGGGGAGGUGAAUAAGAUGAGAACCAAGAAGAGGCCAUUGGAUUUGUUGGUUAGGUGGGAAAUGUUUAUCUUUUCACUACAGUUCUAGGACUAUAGAGCAGAUUGAAGUUGAUUACAGAAUGAAUGGGUAGUGAGAAAAUGGCGUUAACAGGUGUGUUCUUUGUUGAAAUUAUCUGUUGAAAUUCCCAAGAAAAAGAAACUAUGAAAGCAUUUGAAGUGUGUAGCGACAAAAUGAUCUUAAAAUGCCUUGGGAAUAUUUAUACCAAUUUGGAAACUGUUCUCAAGGUUGGAAAAAAAAGUUGGCUGUUGUCAUUUGGCAAAAUGGUAAGUAAUCAUCACAAUUCCCUGAAGUGAUCAUUUUCGUUUCAUACUUUGUGACUAUCGCAGGUUUCUAACAACAUUGUCACCAGAGCUGAUCUAGAGGAUUUCCACCUGUACCCUGCCACAAACACAUAGAAAGUGUGGACAAAAUAUACUAAGGACAAAGAAAAGCAUUCCUGAGCCUGAUAGACCAGAACAUCCCAGGUGCCAGAAGUGAAAGGAGAACUCAAAGCCAGGGUAUAAUUAGGAGCUUAAGUCCUGCCCUGCUCUCAGAUCUGGAUGCAGCCUCCAAGGUCUUGGUCCUGAGGGUGUCAUGAAGGAACAGGAGACAUGAUCUUAGGUCUCCAUGAAGAAGGAAGGUGGAGUUGAGGUCUUCCUACAUAAAACUUCGAAGGGUGUCCAUCUGUGGAAAGAAGACUAGAAAAACCUGGUCCAUGGAAGUGCAAAGAAAUAGGUGGUCCUCCUGAGGUUGUAUAUAAUUAGAAAUAAAAAGAGAAACAUCAGAAUCCCAAAGUUGUACAUCACUUUGGGGAUGGGUUAAAAUUUAACAUUUCUUACAGUGCAACUAACCCUCAAGCUGAGAAAUUAGCAUGAAAUGUGGUACAGAACUGUGGAAACCAAUGGAGCCCUUAGAAACUCCCUGGAAGAACAAAAACUCCUUUGAAAGAUGGAUGGAUAAACACAUUUGUACCAUCGAUUUCUGCGUUCGUCAAUUGGGACACCUGAGCACCUGCUGUAUGUGUGCCUUGUGCUAGUCAUCGUAGGAGAUAUAAAACCAGCAGAAAACUUACGGAACUCAAUCUGACUUGUGAGGUAUGGCUUUUACGCCAAUCAUGAAUGAUAAAGUGGUGCCAUUUACAGAAAAUAAUGUGCAGAAAAUAAAUGCAAAAAGACCUUAAGAGAAUGCUCCAUGUGGCUUAGUGUCUAGUACUCCAUAGGAUAUGCAGGGGAUAUGUGUAAGAUCUAAUUGAGAUUCUUAGGAAAGGCAUUAAUGAGGUCUGAAGAAUUAAAUGAUCAGACACACAGGAUGGUGAAGUUUGCCUAUUCAGAGAGUAAUGGGAGAGGCACUUCAAUAUUUUAUUGUGUCUUCCCAAGAAAUUCACUUGGAACACAAUAUUCAUUUCUGAGGAGGCAAAGACUAAGUUUUAGAAAAGAAAUUCCCUUAGAUGCUAUUAUAAAGCUUGAGUAUUUUAUUAUGAUUUUAUUACUUCCCAUCUGUGGUAGAUAUUUUAUUGAAAUUAUUUGGAUGUUAUCAUCAUGCUGUGACAAUGAUGCUUUAAAGGUCAUACACAAAACACAAUUAAAUUUGCCAAGCGAAAUACGAAUAUGCAUUGUGAAAAGCGAAUAAUUUGAAGUAGUUCCUUUUUUUUUACUUGGGCCAUUUUAUGAUGACAUUUUGAGGUGUUUAAAUAAAUCACAAUGUUGUUUUUCUUUUUGAUUGCAAUUUUCCCUUCGCUGUUUGUGUAGGUUAAAAAUAGAAACCAAUGUGUUUAAAGUUUGAGUCUAUUAGUUAAUAUAAACUUAUUCUGAAGUCAACAGUAGAUUGUAUUAUAAGUCUGUGUGGAAAUUUACUGAAAUUAUUUAGCUCUUAUGUAAAUGUGAUGGCUUCUGAUUGAUAGAGAUUUAAUUAUGCAUACUUUGGUUUAUUAUAAAUUACAUAAACCAACAUUUCCGUACCUCUGUUUGUCAUUAGUUUACUCAUUAGGAGAUCUUUACAUUUCCUUUAGUUUAAGACUUUGUGAUUUUAUUUUACUUUUCCCCCCCAUAAAAGUAAGGAAUGGUUGUUUCUUUCAAAUGUUUGGAAAUUAGUCCUGGAAAAUUUUUAGUUAUUAUUGCCCAUCUCAGAUUAUUUUAAUAUUGUGAAUGUUUGAGUAUGUUUUCUGUUUAAUUUGUGAUGCAGACUCAAAGUCACUGAAAACAGAUGUUUUGGUUCUAAUUUAGGGAGUGUUUGUUUAGGUAAUGACUUAGGCAAACAACAAUUCUUUUACAUCUAGGAAGAAAAUGACAGAUGAUACCUAGCCGUCUGAAUAAAGAGUAAAAAAAGCACAAGAAUAAUAAGAAAGGGAGAUCCAACACCAUAUCAGGUUUUGGGUGUAAAAUAGCCCAGUGGUUACUAUCUAUUAAAAUAGUCUGUUACUAUUGUCUGUUUCCAUACUGGUUGCUCACUUUAGUGCUCUGAGGGGGUGGGAGCACGGCACAGCUCUCUGGGUGCUGGAGUAGCAUAUUCCACAUUGCAUGAAAGCGGUACAAUAAGUAUCUGUAUGUGUGUCUGUAUCUGUAGCCACCUGUCGUUCUCAGAUAAUCGAGAAUUGAUAGCAUUAGUAUUAACGCAGUUUGCUGUCUUUUGUUUACCUAAACAAUGUAUUCUCCUGCCCUUAGCUUGACAUUAGUUUAGGGGUACAGGAAUACUUAUUGGAAAAGUAGUUGGAGAUGUUUAGAAUUAUUAUAUACUUCUGAACUGGAUUUAAAAGCUCCUCUGGGCCGAAAGCCAGUUGAUUCUUGUCAGUGUUUUUACAUGACUGAGGUCAAUUACUUCAGAGAUUGAACAACUGCAGCCUUGGUAAAUGGUUCACUUCUGUCCAGGGUACAAUAUAGGAUCCUUUUAAACGCUACUAUAAUUGGUAUUUUAAUAAAUGUGUUUUGAUUGGACAAGAAUGUAAAAGCUAUUUUGGAGUAUUUUCAAAGACAUGAAGUUUAAAACACUGUAACUUGUUAAUUUUGUGUUCUGUAAUGUGCAUAAUAAGAUUGAGGUUUCAAUGUUUGUAUUAAGUAAAUGAAAAUAUUCACAUGAACCUUUUAGAUAAGAGGAGUUGCCAAAUGUAGAAAGAUUCUGAGCAGAAACAGUUGGAUUUAAAAAUUGAACUAGUUGCCAGAGGGCUUGGGUUCUGAUUAUGGCCUGACUACAAGCAACAUUUGUGACUUCGGCCAGUUUCAAUUUUCCCAUUGUUUUUUUUUUUUUUUAUUUAAUUUUUUUUAUUAUAUUAUGUUAGUCACCAUACAGUAUAUCCCUAGUUUUUGAUGUAAAGUUCCAUGAUUCAUUACUUGCGUAUAACACCCAGUGCACCAUGCAAUACGUGCCCUCCUUACUGCCCAUCACCAGCCUGUCCCAUUGUUAAUGAAGAUCUAUUCCAGAACUGGCCUAGUCCAACUUCCUCAUUUGUAAAACCUUCCUUAGUCCUGAAAUACUUUCUGAAAGAAGUAAGUGUGGCAUGUUGAUAGCUCUAUCAAGUACCCUGCUAUUACGGGAGCUUGAAGGUUGAGGGGUGGGGUAGAGUAAUUGGAAAUAAAACUUGGGACAUGCCCUGUCGAGAAAUCCUAGAUCCUUGUUGCUCGACAAAACAGCAAGGUUUUAUGCUAUCAGUGCACAACCUGGAAACAAGUAGCCAUUGGACUGAACACUGGUUUCAGUGUUUAUCCUGAACAUGCUGUGUCAAACCACCUUUACAGGUGUGUGCUCUCCCCGUUCUCUGCAAUCCCUACACCUCCUUAGUCCCAUACUCAACUAUUUUACUUGCCUUUUGCAAUUGAAAGCUUUCGAGUUUAUCCCAUGCUGGAGUAAUAUGUAGACAGAGAAGGAUUUUAAGAGGAGAGUGGCAUGAUAAGAUAUGCGUAUAAAAAAAUUUAACUUGAGCAGGGUUGAUAGAACAGGGUCAAGAGUAGUGGCUUACUAACUGAACUGACCUUGUAAGGAAGUUAACGUUUUUACUCUUGAUUUUAUUUCAUUUCUUUCUUCCUCAGUAUAGUUUUGUUUAAUUUUCUUAAAAAAAAUCCUCUUGAGUAUGUUAAUCAAGUGGUUGAUUCAGGUGAUUUUUUUGCCCUCAUUUAAAAGCUGAUGCACUGAAAUAUGAACUUAGUCAAUUAUCAUCUCCCAGAGGUUCUCUUGGCAUAGAACUUGGAUAUGUGUGUAACACUGGAAUCUUGGUUUUAAAAAUGCAUAUAUAUAUAGUGUAUACACAAUAUAUAUAAAUGCAAUAUACAUAAAAUCUGUGGGAAGACUUUUCAGAUAUCCCAGACAAUGUAAAUAACAGAUUUGUACCUAAGUAGCAAAUGUGUUUCUCAUUUCUCUCUGUGGAAUUACCAGUUGUGUCUGAGGGAAACUUGCUAGAUUCUUUUUUUCCUCCCCUACUGUACUGCCUUGGUAUAUUAUUGCCAAGAUCAGAUACUCUGGGAUCAGACAGAUCUUGUUUACGUCUUGUCUCUCUUUCUUCACCUUUGGGCCAAUUCAGUAAUCCACCUGAGUUUUGAUUUCUCCAUGGAUCAUUUUGCAAAUUGAAUGAAACAUCAUAUGGAAAGCAUUUAGCUUUACCAUGCACACAAGGGUGCGAAACAAGUCUUCCAGUUUUUGGAUGUGUUUCAGAAGAAGGGAUAUCUAAGAGGAAGUAUCAGUCUUUGAUCCUUCAUUAAAGACUUUGUGAGUAAGCCACACACAGUGUCCACAAUAAGUGCGCGCGCGCACACACACACACACACACGUGAGUGGAGUUAUAUUUAUGCACGUUUAGAAGCAUUGAUAUACACACAGAAUGAAUUUUGAAAGUCAGUUGAUGAAUUGAUGAAGUUUCCAGUUUGUAAAAUAAGCAUGAACAAUACAUUUAGAAUGUAAACAGUCUGCUUUUAUAUUAAAACGGAAAAGAAGAAAAUAUCCAUUCUAAUUUUUACCUCUUUGUAGACAAGGUUGAGUAAAUUGCAGAGUGUUGAGGCACAGAGAAUUGGUUACCCAUGGAAUCAAGAACCCUAGAGGAAAGGGCAGAGAUUAUUUUUUUCACCCAAAAUUGCUCUGUCUCUCCUUAAUGGGUGGGGGAAAAACAAACCCCCAAAACGCACAGUGAACUGAGACGAGGAAUACUGGUCUGCUCUAAUGAUGCUUGGGGUCAAAGAAGACCCUGCAAGGUGGCUUCUGUUUGCCCCGGAGUUCACAGCCUACUCAGAAUUCUCUGGGCUUCCUGGAACUUCAUAUUAAAAAUUUGAUAGAUCACAGCAGGGAUUUUCAAACAAAUAGCCAUUACCAAACAUUUGUUCUUUCAGUGACUGAUAGAAAACAAAGCCUCUGUGCGGGCUCCACAGAUUUUGCAUCAUGUGAGGUGGUAUUUUCUGUGACCAGUGCAUGGUUGACUGGUGUCAGCAACGUGCUUUGAUAUCUGUGAUUAAAAGAUACAAAUGAAAAAACACAUAAAUGAAGGAAAAAUAAGCAUAAAGACAACAUCCUUACCUUCAGAAAUAUGUUUAUCUCCGUGUGUCAGGUUGGGCAGCCAGUCCUCUCAUCUAAUAUAUUUAUUUUCCGGAAAUCAGCUUUAUGUGAGGGACAUGUAUUACUUACCUGUGUUAUAAAAUCCCCAGCUGGGCGCUAUAACUUGGAAAUAAAGAUCCUUCAUUUAGCAAACAUUCCUCGGGUGCAUAUUAUUUGUUGGGCACUGUUUUAUGAGUUCAGUGUACAAGGAUAAGUAAGAAUUGCUCCUUCUCUUCAGGAAGUUCCCGCUUUUGUGGCAGAAACAGAUGUGUAAACCAGUCCUUUAAUGGCUACUUAUUGCAUGACUGCUGUGUGCCAGGCUUGGUACUUAGCUCUGGAGAGAGAGGCACAUGUAGUCCUGUUCCCAGCAAGCACCGUGGGCUUAUGAGGUAGUAUAGGCAGGAGCUGAGAAACACUGACAGGACCUAAGAAUCAGGUAAAGACCAGUGUACUCUUAUGACCUGGAGAAUGCCAUAGUGCACUUUUUUAUUUUGUUUUAUGUCUUUAAAAAGAGAGAGGGUGCGCAUACAUGCGCAGGGGAAGAGGGGAGAGGGAGAGAGGGAAUCCUAAGCAGAUUGCACACACACUGUGGAGCCCAAUGUAAGGCUCAAUCCCACGACCCUGAGAUCGUGACCAGAGCCGAAGUCAAGAGUUGGACGCUCAACUGACUGUGCCACCCAGACACCCCCAUCGUUUACUCUUUUCUUUUGGCUCAAAUAAUUCACUUUAUGACUAAAAUGUUGCUUUCCUCUAUUUUAUAUUAUUACUUAACAAUCCUCUUUAUAGUCUUUAACCAUAAGCUGUGGCUUUAUUGAUUUUUUUAAAAUUUACAUUCUGGUUAUUAUUUCUGAAGGAGUUAUGAAGAAAUUCCAUACAGCAUCCCAUUUGAUAAAUUACUGAAAAAAUAUUUAAUAUAUUUGAGUAUCUCAUUUAUCUUGUUAUUCAAGGAGGUUUUAGCCAGUUACUCUUUGGGUUUUGUAUGUUGAAUUGAUCAUUCUUUUUAAGCACCUGUUUAUAUAAACUUAUUGAUUUGACCUGUACUUGAGUUAACUGUUUACAGUUGAUAUGUGGGACAAUACCAUCGAUUACUUUAUUAAAUAAUCAUAAGUUGUUUUAUAGUAAUAGAAAUUUUAAAUUCUGCUUUGAGAACUUUAUUUGCUUUUCCAUACUCAACUGUAUUCACUAAGUUUGAUAAUAAUGCAUUAUAGAAUGGCAGUGCCAUUUAUUUACUGAAGGCUUUGCAACAUUUAUUUAGCAGUUUCCAGUUUUGCAGUAAUUAAGUGAUGCUGAUGUACAGUUCCCAUUGCAUUUUAAAGACCUAGCUAGUUAAUUAGCUUAAGUGGUUCUGUCAGCCCUAUUGACAAUUGGAGCCACAUAGUGGGGGCUUGUCAGGCUGCUAAAAUGAAACCUGUAAGAAUGACAUUACUGGGGUUAGCUUCUUUCCCUCCCCACCCUUAAGAUAAGAGUUUGCUUUCUUUUUCAUGACAUAAAAACAAACCCAGAUAGUGUAAACUGACACUUUUGCUUCUGAUUAACAUGGAUUUUUAUUCAGUAUGGAUUAGUGUUUUUCCACUCCUUGCUCAGGUUUCAGCAGUCUUCAUAAGCUUUCAUCCCACCUUUCUCUCACAAUGGUCUCUUUAAAGAUUUUAUUGUGUUUUUAUUUUGGAUGUCGUCAGGGGCAUUUCAGCAGUGCUCUUGGUUACUCUGAGAAUGGAUUGCAGUCUGGUUGCCCUCACUGUCAGGGAGUCUUGUUUCUGCCUCUUAUCCCUCUGUUGCCUUUUAGACAUCCCUUAUGGAUGGGCUUUGAGGUGUUGCCACUUCUUGUUUCCAUAAAAUUUUAUAUAAGUUACGGAAUUGCUCUGGAAGCAAAUAUUUAGUGUAGUUGGUUUGGCUCUGGAAUCCAGCCCUCCGGCAGGACAGGGGUCAAGGAGGUGGAAAUGGAGAAAAGAGGAGUCCAAGUAGGAAGUGAGUGCCGUCCUCCUGAGAGGCUGAGAACCAUGUGCUGUGUGCAGGUAGGCUGCCUGGAGGGAAAUGGAACCCUGAGUUUGAGUUUUGGCAUUGCUACAUUUAUGCUGGUGAGACAUGGUCUGGAAAUCCCCCGGCAGAGUUCAAGUGAAUGAAGAUCUGUGUUUUAUGGGAUAUGCGUUUGACCGUCACCGUGUUGAGGUAUUCAUGAGAGCAGCCACUGUUUAUUGAAUGCCUGUUAGCUACUGUGCUAGGGGCUUUGCGAAUAUGCUUUCUAUGUUCUGUGCCUUAGUUUCCUUACCUGUAAAAGGGGUGUAAUAGUAGGAUUCUUGUGAAGAGUAAAUGAGUUAAUAUGUGUGAAGCGCUUAACGGUAUCUGACGCAUAAUAACUAACAUUUAAAUGUUAUCAUCAUCAUCACAAUUUAAUCCAACAUCCCUUUGGAAAGAGGUAUUAUUGUACACAUUUUAUAGAAGAGGAAGCUCCGGCAACCUAACUAUUCUGUCAAAAGUGACAUAACCAGUAAGUGACAGGGUCAGAAUUUGAAUUGCGCUUGUUUCUUUCCUUCCUUUGCCGCAGUAAGCUCUUCACCGGUGGCUGUGUGGUGUAGAGGGAAGUCGGAGGAUGAGAUGCCAGACGCAGAUGUUGUUUUGAAUGUUAAAUGGACAGGGUCCUUUCAAAACACUGGAAGAAGAGCUUUUUAAUAACAGAUAUAACAGAAUAUCUUACAGAAAAAUGAGGUUGAGGCUUGGCUUUUGAGAGCUGCCAGGGAAGAACAAGGGGAAAAGGGAGAAGAUCACUGUAAGACACAGGAGAGUUAGAGUGAGAGGACAAGAGGACGAUCACGUGGUUUCCACAUUGAGGAAUAAGAGAGCUUCCAAAGUGCCUGCUGGUCAUUGUCCUCUGGUGCUGCACGCAGGCCAAGCAGAAUGAGACUCGAGGAAAGGCAGUCUAAGUCACUCUUUGGUGUUAACAGAUUAAAUUUAUUUCCCUUUCAAGCUAGAACAAUUGGCUCUAAUUACAAUCGUAAGUAACAGAAACAGAUGAUACAGCGAUAUAAAUAAAUUGGGAGCUUAAGUUUGGAUUCCGCCCCUUUUGCAGUUCGUGUAUUUUAUCAAUAGUUACAUUCUAGCUUGUCGUUUGUCGGCUUAGAGAUCCACUCAGUUAUCUCAUGCAACUAUGAUGCUUCUCAGCAAAUCUGAAGUGCUGUAGAUACUCUACCAGGAAACGAUGAACAGGGUGCUAAUGUUAGCCUGGAAAAGCUCCCUUUUAAUGCAGUGAUUUCUGUUGUUCACACUAAUUUUUCUUAUCUUUCCUGUAUUUUUGUGUCUGUUCUCUCCACAAUUAAAAAAGGCUGAGCUGACUUGACUAGAACUUGAGAGCAACGUACAGUGAAUUCUGGAGUUUAACUUGUGUAAUGUCAGUGAGGGCUUGACAAGUCCUGGAACUUGGUUCACUAGAUAUGAACCUAUUGUCUUGGAUAGUAGGUCUUUCUUUUUUUUUUUUUUUAAUUUAUUUAUU